UACGUAGGGGGCAAGCGUUGUCCGGAUUUAUUGGGCGUAAAGAGCGUGUAGGCGGCUUUGCAAGUCCGUUGUGAAAACCCGAGGCUCAACCUCGAGACGCCGGUGGAAACUGCAAAGCUAGAGUCCGGAAGAGGAGAGUGGAAUUCCUGGUGUAGCGGUGAAAUGCGCAGAUAUCAGGAGGAACACCAAUAGCGAAGGCAGCUCGCUGGGACGUUACUGACACUGAGGCGCGAAAGCGUGGGGAGCGAACAGG
rnacentral:rRNA from 1 species